rnacentral:hammerhead_ribozyme from 1 species
AUCCAACUGACAAGUCUCAAAUAGGACGAAACGCUCGUUCUAGAU